rnacentral:rRNA from 1 species
GUCCAGACUCCUACGGGAGGCAGCAGUGGGGAAUAUUGCACAAUGGGGGAAACCCUGAUGCAGCGACGCCGCGUGAGCGAUGAAGUAUUUCGGUAUGUAAAGCUCUAUCAGCAGGGAAGAAAAUGACGGUACCUGACUAAGAAGCCCCGGCUAACUACGUGCCAGCAGCCGCGGUAAUACGUAGGGGGCAAGCGUUAUCCGGAUUUACUGGGUGUAAAGGGAGCGUAGACGGCUGUGCAAGCCAGAUGUGAAAGCCCGGGGCUCAACCCCGGGACUGCAUUUGGAACUGUGUGGCUGGAGUGUCGGAGAGGCAGGCGGAAUUCCUAGUGUAGCGGUGAAAUGCGUAGAUAUUAGGAGGAACACCAGUGGCGAAGGCGGCCUGCUGGACGAUGACUGACGUUGAGGCUCGAAAGCGUGGGGAGCAAACAGGAUUAGAUACCCUGGUA